rnacentral:rRNA from 1 species
AUUGAACGCUGGCGGCAGGCCUAACACCUGCAAGUCGAGCGGAGCGGCGGACGGGUGAGUAAUGCCUAGGAAUCUGCCUGGUAGUGGGGGAUAACGUCCGGUAACGGGCGCUAAUACCGCAUACUAUCAGAUAAGCCUAGGUCGGAUUAGCUAGUUGUUGGGGUAAAGGCCUACCAAGGCGACGAUCCGUAACUGGUCUGAGAGGAUGAUCAGUCACACUGGGACUGAGACACGGUCCAGACUCCUACGGGAGGGAGAAGGGGGGAAUAUUGGACAAUGGGCGAAAGCCUGAUACAGCCAUGCCGCGUGUGUGAAGAAGGUCUUCGGAGUGUAAAGCACUUUAAGUUGGGAGGCGUUACCAACAGAAUAAGCACCGGCUAACUUCGUGCCAGCAGCCGCGGUAAUUC